rfam:Triticum aestivum genome assembly, contig: Triticum_aestivum_CS42_TGACv1_scaffold_195596_3AL
CAUAUAUUCCCUCCGUCCGGAAAUACUUGUCGGAGAAAUGGAUGUAUCUAGACGUAUUUUAGUUCUAGAUACAUCCAUUUUUAUGCAUUUCUGCGAAAAGUAUUUCCGGGCGGAGGGAGUAAUAU